UAGGGAAUCUUCCACAAAUGGACGCAAGUCUGAUGGAGCAACGCCGCGUGAGUGAAGAAGGUCUUCGGAUCGUAAAACUCUGUUGUUAGAGAAGAACACGAGUGAGAGUAACUGCUCAUUCGAUGACGGUAUCUAACCAGCAAGUCACGGCUAACUACGUGCCAC
rnacentral:rRNA from 1 species